UACGUAGGUGGCGAGCGUUGUCCGGAUUUACUGGGCGUAAAGAGCGCGCAGGCGGUCGUGCAAGUCGCGUGUGAAAGCCCCCGGCUCAACUGGGGAGGGUCAUUCGAUACUGAUCGACUCGAAGGCAGGAGAGGGAAGUGGAAUUCCCGGUGUAGUGGUGAAAUGCGUAGAUAUCGGGAGGAACACCAGUGGCGAAGGCGACUUCCUGGCCUGUUCUUGACGCUGAGGCGCGAAAGCUAGGGGAGCAAACGGG
rnacentral:rRNA from 1 species